rnacentral:RNase_P_RNA from 1 species
CAAGCGGGCCGAACGGUCGCGGUGCGGCUUCGGGCCGCAUCGAGGAAAGUCCGGGCUCCACAGGGCAGGACGCUUCGUAACGCGAAGGCGGAGCAAUCCGACGGAAAGUGGCACAGAAAAUACACAGCCCGUUUCGUCGGGCAAUGGUGAAAAGGUGCGGUAAGAGCGCACCAGCGUCGUGGCGACACGGCGGCUCGCUAAACCCCGUCCGGAGCAAGUCCAAAUAGGGAACCCAUGGCGCGGCCCGCGUCGGUUCCGGGUAGGACGCUUGAGGCAUGCGGCGACGCAUGUUCCAGAUGAAUGACCGUUCACGGGCGCGCAAGCGCCCCGGACAGAACCCGGCUUACAGGCCCGCUUGCACU